rnacentral:sRNA from 1 species
GUCGAGGGCGGGUUGCCUCGCGCUGACCCUUCCCGCCCUCGUUACACACCAGGUCCCCGCGGAAGCGGCGGUGUCGGCGCCAUGGCGGAGCUGACGGCUCUUGAGAGUCUCAUCGAGAUGGGCUUCCCCAGGGGACGCGCGGAGAAGGCUCUGGCCCUCACAGGGAACCAGGGCAUCGAGGCUGCGAUGGACUGGCUGAUGGAGCACGAAGACGACCCAGAUGUGGACGAGCCUCUAGAGACUCCCCUUGGACAUAUCCUGGGACGGGAGCCCACUUCCUCAGAGCAAGGCGGCCUUGAAGGAUCUGGUUCUGCUGCCGGAGAAGGCAAACCCGUUUUGAGUGAAGAGGAAAGACAGGAACAGACUAAGAGGAUGUUGGAGCUGGUGGCCCAGAAGCAGCGGGAGCGUGAAGAGAGAGAGGAACGGGAGGCAUUGGAACGGGAACGGCAGCGCAGGAGACAAGGGCAAGAGUUGUCAGCAGCACGACAGCGGCUACAGGAAGAUGAGAUGCGCCGGGCUGCUGAGGAGAGGCGGAGGGAAAAGGCCGAGGAGUUAGCAGCCAGACAAAGAGUUAGAGAAAAGAUCGAGAGGGACAAAGCAGAGAGAGCCAAGAAGGUAGGUGACUGAGAAGACGCCACGGGUAAUGGAGCGGGCAGUAUGGUGGCAGUGUGGGCUCUCAGCCACCCCCACCGGCACCAGAGCCAGGUCCUGUUCCCUCUUCUCCCAGCCAGGAGCCUCCCAACAAGCGGGAGU